UACGGGGGGAGCAAGCGUUGUUCGGAUUUACUGGGCGUAAAGGGCGCGUAGGCGGCCACCGCAAGUCGACUGUGAAAUCUCCGGGCUUAACCCGGAAAGGUCAGCCGAUACUGCGGGGCUAGAGUGCAGAAGGGGCAACUGGAAUUCUCGGUGUAGCGGUGAAAUGCGUAGAUAUCGAGAGGAACACCUGCGGCGAAGGCGGGUUGCUGGGCUGACACGUGAGGAGCGAAAGCGUGGGGAGCGAGUCCGG
rnacentral:rRNA from 1 species